UUAAUCAGCGAGGGGUGCCGAUUGCCAGUCAUGGACCAGUUCCAUUUGUUACUUGGCCGGCUGAGAUGAGACCCUUACAACCUGAUCCGGGUCAUACCGGCGGAGGGACUGCUGCUCUACUAUUUC
rnacentral:ncRNA from 2 species